CCUACGGGCGGCUGCAGUGGGGAAUAUUGGACAAUGGGCGAAAGCCUGAUCCAGCCAUGCCGCGUGUGUGAAGAAGGCCUUCGGGUUGUAAAGCACUUUCAGUGGGGAAGAAAGCCUUGGGUCUAAUACCCUCGAGGAAGGACAUCACCCACAGAAGAAGCACCGGCUAACUCCGUGCCAGCAGCCGCGGUAAUACGGAGGGUGCGAGCGUUAAUCGGAAUUACUGGGCGUAAAGCGCGCGUAGGCGGUCUGAUAAGCCGGUUGUGAAAGCCCCGGGCUCAACCUGGGAACGGCAUCCGGAACUGUCAGGCUAGAGUGCAGGAGAGGAAGGUAGAAUUCCCGGUGUAUCGGUGAAAUGCGUAGAGAUCGGGAGGAAUACCAGUGGCGAAGGCGGCCUUCUGGACUGACACUGACGCUGAGGUGCGAAAGCGUGGGUAGCAAACAGGAUUAGAUACCCGAGUAGUC
rnacentral:rRNA from 1 species